rnacentral:rRNA from 1 species
GAUGAACGCUGGCUGUGUGCCUAAUACAUGCAUGUCGAACGAAGCACUUGUGCUUAGUGGCGAAUGGGUGAGUAACACGUACUUAAUCUGCCCUCAAGUCUGGGACAACAGUUGGAAACGACUGCUAAUACCGGAUAUGUAUAACUUUCGCAUGUUAGUUAUAUAAAAGGAGCGUUUGCUUCGCUAGAGGAUGAGAGUGCGCCGCAUUAGCUUGUUGGUAGGGUAAUGGCCUACCAAGGCGAUGAUGCGUAGCGGGGUCGAGAGGCUGAACCGCCACACUGGGACUGAGAUACGGCCCAG